GGUUCCGUCCCGCCGCCUUCGCCCGCGCGCUGCACUCGCGGACGAUCUCUGCUCGCCUUGGGCGCGCCGUGGCGCGCGGGGCCGUGCUGGCGCUGCGGCUCCUCGGCCUGCUCCGCCGUCUGGUGGCCGCCCCGGGCUGACUUUGACUUAGCGAUGCCUUUCCUGAUGGAGGAAACAGUGACCCAGCACCACCUAAUGCCCCCAAACCAAAGCCAGAUCCAAACCCCAACCGACCUGGUUUCACUGGUGACCCAGCACCACCUAAUCCCCCCAAACCAAAGCCAGAUCCAAAUCCCAACUGACCUGGUUUCACUGAUAAGAGCCUCUAACCCUACGGGGUGGUCUCUAUGUUGUUUACCUGGCAGUGAUGUCCGUGUCAUCUGAGAAGAGGAGAUUUCAGGUGAGCCUGUUCCUACUGUUGAAUUACAAGGUAAUUCCAGUGUUCAAGUAGUGGAAAACCUAGAUUACGAAAAUAUGUUUUUGGUUUGGAUUUUAUUUUCCUUUUCUUGAUUUUACUUCAAAGAUAAAUGGAACUUCCAAAUCAUUGAAUAAGAGCUUUUAGAUGUAGACUUGAUAUGAGGAAAAGAAUCUGUGUGUUUCCC
ensembl:lncRNA CD99P1 CD99 molecule pseudogene 1